AACGAACGCUGGCGGCAGGCUUAACACAUGCAAGUCGAGCGCCCCGCAAGGGGAGCGGCAGACGGGUGAGUAACGCGUGGGAACGUACCCUUUGCUACGGAAUAGCUCCGGGAAACUGGAAUUAAUACCGUAUGUGCCCUACGGGGGAAAGAUUUAUCGGCAAAGGAUCGGCCCGCGUUGGAUUAGCUAGUUGGUGGGGUAAUGGCCUACCAAGGCGACGAUCCAUAGCUGGUCUGAGAGGAUGAUCAGCCACAUUGGGACUGAGACACGGCCCAAACUCCUACGGGAGGCAGCAGUGGGGAAUAUUGGACAAUGGGCGCAAGCCUGAUCCAGCCAUGCCGCGUGAGUGAUGAAGGCCUUAGGGUUGUAAAGCUCUUUCACCGGAGAAGAUAAUGACGGUAUCCGGAGAAGAAGCCCCGGCUAACUUCGUGCCAGCAGCCGCAGUAA
rnacentral:rRNA from 1 species